rnacentral:rRNA from 1 species
AGAGUUUGAUCCUGGCUCAGGAUGAACGCUAGCGACAGGCUUAACACAUGCAAGUCGAGGGGCAGCGAGGGCGUAGCAAUACGCCUGUCGGCGACCGGCGCACUGGUGAGUAACACGUAUGCGACCUGCCCCCUACAGGGGUAUAACCCGUAGAAAUGCGGACUAAUCCCCCAUAGUCCUGGGUGCUGCAUGGCAUUCAGGGGAAAGGGUUUCCGGUAGGGGAUGGGCAUGCGGCGCAUUAGCUAGUUGGCGGGGCAACGGCCCACCAAGGCGACGAUGCGUAGGGGUUCUGAGAGGAAGGUCCCCCACACUGGUACUGAGACACGGACCAGACUCCUACGGGAGGCAGCAGUGAGGAAUAUUGGUCAAUGGACGCAAGUCUGAACCAGCCAUGCCGCGUGCAGGAUGACGGCUCUAUGAGUUGUAAACUGCUUUUGUACGAGGGUAAACGCAGAUACGUGUAUCUGUCUGAAAGUAUCGUACGAAUAAGGAUCGGCUAACUCCGUGCCAGCAGCCGCGGUAAUACGGAGGAUUCAAGCGUUAUCCGGAUUUAUUGGGUUUAAAGGGUGCGUAGGCGGUUUGAUAAGUUAGAGGUGAAAUACCGGUGCUUAACACCGGAACUGCCUCUAAUACUGUUGAACUAGAGAGUAGUUGCGGUAGGCGGAAUGUAUGGUGUAGCGGUGAAAUGCUUAGAGAUCAUACAGAACACCGAUUGCGAAGGCAGCUUACCAAACUAUAUCUGACGUUGAGGCACGAAAGCGUGGGGAGCAAACAGGAUUAGAUACCCUGGUAGUCCACGCAGUAAACGAUGAUAACUCGUUGUCGGCGAUACACAGUCGGUGACUAAGCGAAAGCGAUAAGUUAUCCACCUGGGGAGUACGUUCGCAAGAAUGAAACUCAAAGGAAUUGACGGGGGCCCGCACAAGCGGAGGAACAUGUG